rnacentral:rRNA from 1 species
GUGCCAGCCGCCGCGGUAAUACGGAGGGUGCAAGCGUUAAUCGGAAUUACUGGGCGUAAAGCGCACGCAGGCGGUCUGUCAAGUCGGAUGUGAAAUCCCCGGGCUCAACCUGGGAACUGCAUUCGAAACUGGCAGGCUAGAGUCUUGUAGAGGGGGGUAGAAUUCCAGGUGUAGCGGUGAAAUGCGUAGAGAUCUGGAGGAAUACCGGUGGCGAAGGCGGCCCCCUGGACAAAGACUGACGCUCAGGUGCGAAAGCGUGGGGAGCAAACAGGAUUAGAUACCCUGGUAGUCCACGCCGUAAACGAUGUCGACUUGGAGGUUGUGCCCUUGAGGCGUGGCUUCCGGAGCUAACGCGUUAAGUCGACCGCCUGGGGAGUACGGCCGCAAGGUUAAAACUCAAAUGAAUUGACGGGGGCCCGCACAAGCGGUGGAGCAUGUGGUUUAAUUCGAUGCAACGCGAAGAACCUUACCUACUCUUGACAUCCAGAGAACUUUCCAGAGAUGGAUUGGUGCCUUCGGGAACUCUGAGACAGGUGCUGCAUGGCUGUCGUCAGCUCGUGUUGUGAAAUGUUGGGUUAAGUCCCGCAACGAGCGCAACCCUUAUCCUUUGUUGCCAGCGGUCCGGCCGGGAACUCAAAGGAGACUGCCAGUGAUAAACU